rnacentral:rRNA from 1 species
AUUGCCUUAGUAACGGCGAGUGAAGCGGCAAAAGCUCAAAUUUGAAAUCUGGCGUCUUCGACGUCCGAGUUGUAAUUUGAAGAAGGCAACUUUGUAGCUGGUCCUUGUCUAUGUUCCUUGGAACAGGACGUCAUAGAGGGUGAGAAUCCCGUGUGGCGAGGAUCCCAGUUAUUUGUAAAGUGCUUUCGACGAGUCGAGUUGUUUGGGAAUGCAGCUCUAAGUGGGUGGUAAAUUCCAUCUAAAGCUAAAUAUUGGCGAGAGACCGAUAGCGAACAAGUACAGUGAUGGAAAGAUGAAAAGAACUUUGAAAAGAGAGUGAAAAAGUACGUGAAAUUGUUGAAAGGGAAGGGCAUUUGAUCAGACAUGGCGUUUGCUUCGGCUUUCGCUGGGCCAGCAUCAGUUUUAGCGGUUGGAUAAAUCCUCGGGAAUGUGGCUCUGCUUCGGUAGAGUGUUAUAGCCCGUGGGAAUACAGCCAGCUGGGACUGAGGAUUGCGACUUUUGUCAAGGAUGCUGGCGUAAUGGUUAAAUGCCGCCCGUCUUGAAACACGGACCAAGGAGUCUAACGUCUAUGCGAGUGUUUGGGUGUAAAACCCGUACGCGUAAUGAAAGUGAACGUAGGUGAGGGCCCGCAAGGGUGCAUCAUCGACCGAUCCUGAUGUCUUCGGAUGGAUUUGAGUAAGAGCAUAGCUGUUGGGACCCGAAAGAUGGUGAACUAUGCCUGAAUAGGGUGAAGCCAGAGGAAACUCUGGUGGAGGCUCGUAGCGGUUCUGACGUGCAAAUCGAUCGUCGAAUUUGGGUAUAGGGGCG